UACGUAGGGUGCAAGCGUUAUCCGGAAUUAUUGGGCGUAAAGAGCUCGUAGGCGGUUUGUCGCGUCUGCUGUGAAAACCCGAGGCUCAACCUCGGGCCUGCAGUGGGUACGGGCAGACUAGAGUGCGGUAGGGGAGAUUUGGAAUUCCUGGUGUAGCGGUGGAAUGCGCAGAUAUCAGGAGGAACACCGAUGGCGAAGGCAGAUCUCUGGGCCGUAACUGACGCUGAGGAGCGAAAGCGUGGGGAGCGAACAGG
rnacentral:rRNA from 1 species